GGGUGCGAUCAUACCAGCGCUAA
rnacentral:rRNA from 1 species